rnacentral:rRNA from 1 species
UACGGGGGGGGGCAAGCGUUGUUCGGAAUUACUGGGCGUAAAGGGCUCGUAGGCGGUCUGUCGCGUCGAAAGUGAAAACUCAGGGCUUAACCCUGAGCCUGCUUCCGAUACGGGCAGACUAGAGGUAUGCAGGGGAGAACGGAAUUCCUGGUGUAGCGGUGAAAUGCGCAGAUAUCAGGAGGAACACCGGUGGCGAAGGCGGUUCUCUGGGCAUUACCUGACGCUGAGGAGCGAAAGUGUGGGGAGCGAACAGG